GUGGGGAAUUUUGGACAAUGGGCGAAAGCCUGAUCCAGCCAUGCCGCGUGCAGGAUGAAGGCCUUCGGGUUGUAAACUGCUUUUAACCGGGAAGAAACCCCAGGACGUGUCCUGGGUUGACGGUACCGGAGGAAUAAGCACCGGCUAACUUCGUGCCAGCAGCCGCGGUAAUACGAAGGGUGCAAGCGUUAUCCGGAUUCAUUGGGUUUAAAGGGUGCGUAGGCGGAGCGUUAAGUCAGUGGUGAAAUCCUGCAGCUUAACUGUAGACUUGCCAUUGAUACUGGCGCUCUUGAGUGCGCUUGAAGUGGGCGGAAUGUGCCGUGUAGCGGUGAAAUGCUUAGAUAUGGCACAGAACACCAAUUGCGAAGGCAGCUCACUAAGGCGAUACUGACGCUGAGGCACGAAAGCGUGGGGAUCGAACAGGAUUAGAAACCCCUGUAGUCC
rnacentral:rRNA from 1 species